rnacentral:rRNA from 1 species
UACGGGGGGGGGCAAGCGUUGUUCGGAAUUACUGGGCGUAAAGCGCGUGUAGGCGGCUCUUCAAGUCGAGUGUGAAAGCUCCAGGCUUAACCUGGGAAUUGCGCUCGAUACUGCAGGGCUUGAGUAUCGGAGAGGUUGGUGGAAUUCUCGGUGUAGAGGUGAAAUUCGUAGAUAUCGAGAGGAACACCGGCGGCGAAGGCGGCCAACUGGACGAUUACUGACGCUGAGACACGAAAGCGUGGGGAGCAAACAGG